UUUCUAACUUUUUCCAGCAAAUGUCGACUAUCAGCAUGCUCUGAUGCUGAAAGUUGAAUCAGGUUUUUGUUACAAUCCUAGCCUACUCUGACAAAUGUCGACUUUUAAUAAGCGUUGAGAGUAAAUGUUGAGACAAUUUUUCUUAAAUAUGGCUAAUUCUUACUCAUGUCAGCACAUAUCGACAUGAAGCGUGCCCUGAUGGCAAAAAUUAAAUCAGUGUUUUGUUAUAUAUUUUGCUUACUCUGAGAAGGUUCUUUUAAUUGAAUAUCAUUUUUCACUCGCAUUUUCAAGUAUUGACAUUCAACAUGCAUUGAUGGUAAAUGAAAUGUAGAUUUAAAGGUUUUGCUGAAUAUUUCUUAUUUACAUCAGAAAAUUCGACAUUUACAUGCCAUGACAAGGAUGAUAUCGUGACACUCUUCUUCAAAAAAGGUUGGCCACCCCUGUUUUUGAGACACAUAUUAAAAACAUUUCACCGGUUAAUGACUGGAAAAGUGUUCCAGUUACGCACGGUAAUAAUAAUUUUAUGCCAGUAAAGCUAUCAUGACCAUAAAAACACAGGUCUGACGGUAAAUGUUUCCUUGCAAAGAUAUGGCAACUGACUGCGAAUUAACAUCAUACUCAUAAAAAUUUAUCUUCAGUUCAGACUUUGACGCUGUUUUGAAACUCAGGUGACAUAUCUCUCGAAUCAAGACGGACCAUAGAACGAGGCGAAAUAUUAUAGUGCAGCUAUCUGUCGUGGAGUGAGAGAGUUGCAUAUUUAUUGUCCGUGGUCACCAACGUGGAGGGAGUGUGUUUGAGAGAGAACUGUAACUUGGCACCGAUUGAGUUCGAACCAAGAACUUCUGUGACAGCAACCUUAUGGUAUAACCUCCAUAGAAAUGGUAAGGGAGCUGAAAAUUUUAUAUUUUAAUCUUAUAAGUUAACGGCUAACUCUACUAAUUCGUUAAAUUGACGGGGACUGGAUUUUUUUUCUCUAAGAAGAAUAGAUUAAGGACAAGCAUACAAAACGGUGUAAGUACCUUUAUAAGAAACAAAUUCUUACUUAGUGUGAAUUUCGUUAAUAUCACAAUUUCUGAGCAACUUUAACAAAAAAACAUGCAAUAAAACACAGCCUAAAAAUUU